GAUGAACGCUGGCGGCGUGCUUAACACAUGCAAGUCGAACGGAAAGGCCCAAGCUUGCUUGGGUACUCGAGUGGCGAACGGGUGAGUAACACGUGGGUGAUCUGCCCUGCACUUCGGGAUAAGCCUGGGAAACUGGGUCUAAUACCGGAUAGGACCACUUCUUGGAUGUUGUGGUGGAAAGCUUUUUCGGUGUGGGAUGAGCUCGCGGCCUAUCAGCUUGUUGGUGGGGUAAUGGCCUACCAAGGCGUCGACGGGUAGCCGGCCUGAGAGGGUGUACGGCCACAUUGGGACUGAGAUACGGCCCAGACUCCUACGGGAGGCAGCAGUGGGGAAUAUUGCACAAUGGGCGCAGGCCUGAUGCAGCGACGCCGCGUGGGGGAUGACGGCCUUCGGGUUGUAAACUCCUUUCGCUAGGGACGAAGCGUUUUGUGACGGUACCUGGAGAAGAAGCACCGGCUAACUACGUG
rnacentral:rRNA from 1 species